AUAACUUUAAAACUUUCAACAAUGGAUCUCUUGGUUCUCGCAUCGAUGAAGAACGCAGCGAAAUGCGAUACGUAAUGUGAAUUGCAGAAUUCCGUGAAUCAUCGAAUCUUUGAACGCACAUUGCGCCCUCUGGUAUUCCAGGGGGCAUGCCUGUUUGAGCGUCAUUUCCUUCUCAAAUAACUACGUUAGUUUUUGUUUGGUAGUGAGUGAUACUCGUUGAGUUAACUUGAAAUUGUUGGCCAGUGUUGCACAACGCAGUGGGUCUCUGUUUUAAUUUUCAUUGGGAGUUCCGCAAUGAGAAGUAAAUCGUUAUUAGGUUUUACCGACUCGAUUUUAAGUUUGUUGUGGGAUGCUAAUUCCUUUGGGGAGAGGGGACUAGACUGCGGAUCAUGCAAGGCGAACAGGAACCUUUAAGUUUGACCUCAAAUCAGGUAGG
rnacentral:rRNA from 1 species